GAUUUUAGUUCUGUUUUUCAAAUGUUUCCUCUUUCAGCCAUCACUUACCUUGCCAGGCAAGGGGAGCAGUUGCUCAAUAGACAUCUGUGGUGGGAAAGCAAGAAGUUACUUUCAUCAUACAACAUUGCAGAAAUCAUCCUUGUAACUAAUAAGAAAGAUAUGAGAACCCUGAAGGGCUGUAAGAUGGGUCUUCAAUAGCAGGUCUUGAGAUACCAGAGAUCUAUGUGAUGUAAAUUGCUGAGAAGUAUCCUUGAAGAAAAUCUUGGGUUUAGGCAGAAAGUUUUCAUAAAACUACCUUUUCAGCUUCUUCUCUUAUUCUGUAACUGUAUGUAUGGAGACCGCUUCUUAGCAGCCUACUCUGAAGAUCACAGGUUGCUGUGAGGAGAGAGGUAUGUAUUUUUACAUAGCAUCCUCUAAAUAGCCCUGGUAAUUUCACAUUUUCUUAAGAGACUGGCUAACUUUGUUUUGAGCUGUAGGUGCCAAAGCAUGGAUAUGUGUGGUUAAUUGCCCAAAUAUCAUAUAGUAGGACUGCGAAUUAGCAUCCCA
rnacentral:lncRNA from 1 species